rnacentral:misc_RNA from 1 species
CGCACAUUGCGCCCCUUGGUAUUCCGGGGGGCAUGCCUGUCCGAGCGUCAUUUCAACCCUCCAGCCUCGCUGGGUCUUGGGCUCUGCCGGCAACGGCUUGCCUUAAAAUCAGUGGCGGUGCCGAUGAGCUCUACGCGUAGUAAUAAAUCCCUCGCGUUUGGGUCUUGGCGGUCGCUUGCCAGCAACCCCCAAUUUUCUAUGGUUGACCUCGGAUCAGGUAGGGAUACCCGCUGAACUUAA